UUGAUUCAUUUUUCUUGUGAGACUCAGAAUAUGCCACUAUGGUUAAACAAGAGUUUGGGUCCCCCGGCGGGCGCCUGGUUCCGGCGGCCCUCGCGGGCCUUCCGGGGCGUUAACCCGCCGAAGCAACAGUAAAGGUAUAAGUUCACAGGGGUUUGGGAGUAGAAUAACUCGGUAAUGAUCCCUCCGCUGGUUCACCAACGGAGA
rnacentral:misc_RNA from 1 species